AAUUUUUGUUUUGAUACAGUGAAAUCAAAGUUUCCAGCUCCCCUUGCUACAAAAACAUUUUACUCUCAAAGAAACCAUCGCCUCCGUUUAGCAAUUAAUCAUCUAUAUUCCGCGGUAUCAGCUGCAGAUGUAACCAGCAGCCUGGUGGGUCCAGAACUAUCACAGGAAAUGCAAUGAGAAGCAUCAUCUCAGAUGUUCUCUUCACUCAAACAAGUUGAUGAUUUGAGCAAUGAGCAGACAGAGUCCUUCUUCAUGGAGACAUUUUACUCAAAUUUCUGAUUUGGGCUUGAACAAAUCGGGAGUAUGGCUGUCAUCCUGCAACCCUACAAAUAAUCUUCAUAUCGAUGAUGCUCCAAGGCAAGAGAUUGCUCCCGUUGGAUUGCUUAGGGGCAAAUAUGUCUCAAAGCUGUUUUCAUUCACAGGAAACUCGGGUAUUACCACUUAUUAUUGUUUGCUAACUAAAAAAUUCUUAGUUUUUUUGGAUUAGCUGCGGUCUUGAACAUUAUCUUUGCUAGUAAAGAAAUUUUAAAGUAUCUUGGCCACUAAAUCUAUAAUAAGCCUAAUAAC